rnacentral:lncRNA from 1 species
CUUCAUCUACCCCAAUCUACUUUUAUGCGAUACAUCUUUUUUAAUAUUUGCAUCCUCAUGGAUUAUCAACCCAGGUAUCGAAAAUAAUCUCUUUUAACCAAUCCUACAUAGUUGGGAUAAGACUCAGAUGAUGAUGAUAAGGUACUUCUUGGCCAUCAAUCUUAAAUAAUUUCUCGUUUCUACUCUUAUUAUUAUUAAAUUGCAUUCUAUAUAUUAUGUCUUUGGCUAAUUUUUAAAACCUUUUAAUUCUGUAGCAUCCCUUCAAAGUUCAAAUUUUGUGUAGAUGUCGUUUCUAGUCUCAUUAAUCCAAGCUAUGUCAUCUUUGAAUAGCAUACCCUACAGUACCUCAUCUUCUAGAAGUCUAGUUAACUCGUCCAUAACCAAUGUAAAGAGAUAUGAGCUCAACACUACUCCUAAUGUAGACCUACUAUCAUUGAAAAUUCACUUCUCUCUACUAGUUGUCUUUAAACUAGUUAGCGCUCCCUCUACUUACCCUUUACCAUAUCAAUAUAUCUUCUAGAGACUCAUUUCUUUUCCAUCACCCACCAAAUUAACGCUUUAGAUACUCUAUCAUAUAUUUUCUCUAAAUCAAAAAAAUGCGAUGUGGGGAUUUUUUUUCUCUUCUCAAUUGAUUAAAUAAGAAAGUGGCCUCAAUGGUUGACCUCUCGGGCAAAAAUCUGAAUUGAUUUUCAAAUACACUUGUUUCAUGUCGUAGUCAUUGCUCAAUUACCUUAUCCCAUAGUUUCAUAAUAUGGUUUAUAAGUUUGGUCAUUCGAUAGUUAAUACAACUCUGGACGUCUCCUUUGUUCUUGUAAAUAGAUACUAUAAUAUUUUUUCUCCAUUCCUUUGGCAUUAUGAUAUUUUUGUUGUUUUCAAAAUCUUGUUGAAUAGCUUGAUCAACCAGUAUAUGUCAAUAUCUCCCAUGCACUUCCAAACUUUUGUUGGUAUAUACGUUUUGGUCCUAGAGCCUUUCCUAUCUUCAUAUUUCUCAAAACUUCUUUUAUUUUAGAUAUCCUAUUCUUACGAAUGUAUAUAUAGCUUCCGACCUUAUUUAUGUCAAAGGUUCCUGCUACGGCUAUGUUCCUAAAGUGGUUGUCAUUUUACAAUUUUCAAAAUUGAAUUCUCCACCUUUCAUUGACCUCGUCAUCCUUCACCAAGGCGUUAUAAUCCUUGCUUUUAAUGCAUUUAACAUGAUCUAGAUCCCUACACUUCAUCUCUCUCAUUUUUGCUAGUUUGAAGACAUUUUUUUCUCCUUCUGUUAUCCUCAAUUUUUGUAUAUAUCAUCAUGUCUUAAGCUUAGCCUUCCUACUUUCUUUGCGUUCCUCUUGUCGUUUCUAUACUCUUCUAAAUUCUGAUAGUUUCUAUUCCCUUGCCAAUCUUUGUAAUAUGAUUGUUUUUUUGCUAAUAGCCUUUUGAACCUCAUCAUUCCACCACCGAGUUUUAUCUGAAAGUCUUUUUCCUCUAGAUUAGCUUGAAACUUCUUUUGCCACUUUCUUAAUACAAGCAAUCAUCUCAUUUUAUGUUAUAUUAACUUUGUCCAUAGAAUUCUAUUUUCCUUCUUUCAUCAUUUUAUUCUCAAAUAAGUUUGUAAAGACUGCCAGGUUCUCCCAGGAGAGAGUUUGACGACAUAACAUAGAUUCAUUGUUUUGGAUGUUUACAUAAAGUGAUGAAAGAUGAGCAACAUUAAUAGGUGUCCAUGAUUUAAGUGAUGGAACUUAAAAAGGGAGAAACAUGAUGAUUGUUCUUCCUUCUUAACUAGAAAAAAAAAUCUUUGCGGCUUAGAUAUGAACCUCUUUUGUAAGUUAGUCAAUGGUUUUUCUCACUCUAUAUAUUAUAUGUUUUUCUCACUUUUUAUAUUACAUGUUUGCUUGCUAGGUCGUAAGUCAUAGCAAAAUCAAGAAUAACAUUACUCAUCCUAUUUCUUUCUCCAAAACCAUAUCUUAUAUGUACCAGUUUAUGUUCUCUACUAUCUUUUCCUAUAUGACUAUUUAAGUCCCCUCCUAAAAUUCCUCUCUUUAUAUUUUUUUGGGUAAUUCAGUGGGGAUUUGGGCCCCUACUCGAUUUUCAUUAAUAAUUACGAUGGUACAAUUCUUUCAUGCAAAGUCCUGGCCAUAUUAGAGGAAAUUAGAGGAGAAAUAAAAUUAGGUGGCUGGGCACGCGAAACUGUGGCCUCAGAGAGACUUGUAGUGCUCUUGGCCAAGUGAUCGGUCGUCGAGUUGGCCUUUCAGUAGACAUGCUUAAUACUCCAGGGGCGGCCAUCCAGGUGGUAAAUGCAAUUUACGGUCAUAAUACUAAGAUUCCAAGGGGGCUUAUGGCGGCCGUGAAGGGAAUGCAUUAGAAUAUGAGAAUCGCUUUCAAUGAGCAGUCGAAAGCAAUGCAGAUCAAUAGCUAGCUGAAUGCCCCUUUCAAGGGUUGAAAAUUCAGCAACAUUGUUGGAUGUGUGCCCUAGAGGAACAACGAAAGUGGUACAAAGCCCUCCCAUAUCAUUUUUGAUAAUUCUUCCACAACUAGCUGCUCUAGGGUUGUCAAGGGACGAUCCAUCAAUGUUUAGUUUAUAGAGACUUGCUGGGGGGUGGAGACCAUGAGACCAAAAUCAAAGUUUUAGGAUGCAUUGGGUGCCACUGGAUUUUGAGGUUAUUAAAUAUAGGCUUCUCUAAUGGGUUGGAAAGUCCAUCCUUUCACCUUUGCUAAGCUUGCAACAAUAGAAAUGAUCUGGUGCAACAAUUGCUCUCUUUUGGGUCUCUUUCCUUCAAAGAUACACAAAUUCAUUUCAGUACAGAGGAGCCAGAUGGUUGUGGAGAAUAGAGAGAUCCAAACAUUAUGUAAUCCUGCUAACGGAACCGGAAUUUGACUUAGCUCUCAAAUAUUGAAGGUAUUGAUGGGCAUAUAGAGAAACUUUUGCCACAUCGCCACAUAAUAGACCGCCAGAGAACUGAGAGAAAGUACAUAACAAAAUAAUAUGGUUAACAUAAUCACCUUCAGUAAGGCACAAAGGGCAACGGUGUAUUAGAUGGAUCCCUCUGCAUUGUAGUAGUUCAGAUGUAGGGAGGCGAAAAUGAAGGGCAAUCCAAGUGAACCAUUUGGCCCGAGGAUGGGAAUGAGAAGCCCAUAAAUUUUUGAAGAUCUCUCUGGUGGAGGCCUCGUCUCCAAGCGUAAGGCAGACACCAUUGUUGGGGAUUAUCAAAGAGAAAAUCAGCUAAACUAGACGUCACAAGUAGAGGCAAGUCCUUAUGUAUAUUAUGUCCAAACUCAUCCCUGAGAGAGACCUCUGAAAGCCAUGGAUCUACCCAAAAUUUGAGGGAAUUACCGUUACCCACAACCCACUUAACAUUGCGCUUGAGUCUAUUUAAACCACAAGAGAUGCCCUUCCAAGCGUGAGAUGCAUUUUUGGUUUUAGAGAGCCAUAUGGAGGAGUUUCUGAAAUACAUGUGUUGGAAAAAUCUAGAAAUAAGAGAGAAGGGGUUUGCAUCUAGCCUCCAAGCAAGCUUCAUCAUGCCAGCCAGUUUUACAUCUUGUAGAUGUCUAAUACCAAGACCACCCUCCUUAAAGGGAAGACAGAUAGUUCUAAUAUAGAAGAUGUAGUCUCUUCAUAUCUAAAGUACCUGUGCCCAAAGAAAGUUUUGCUGGCAUCUCUCUAAAAUAUUGCACGUUCGAACUGGCAAAAGGAAUGAUAGAAUCCAGUAGAUUGAGGAAGCACUUAAGGCCGAUUUAAUCAAUUGAAGUUUGCCUGCAAAAGGUAGUGUUAAAGCUUGCCAGGAGCCAAUUUUAGCAAUUGUCUUCCCCACCAAAGCCUGACAAUGGGAGUGUUUUAGAGCGUCAUGGAAGAGAGGUAACCCAAUAUAUUUCUCUGGUAGGCCCUUUUUAUGUGAUAUUCUUGGACUAGUACAUCCAUGUUCUCCCAAAAUUGUCUUUUAAUUUUAUCAUCCAGUCCUAGCUGUGACGUAUAAGCACUAUUGACAUUAAUUAUCUCGUUACCUAACACAAAUUUAAUUAAUAGGAGCAUAUUAUUGACUCUCUUAAGUUAACAUUUACUAUAGUUUCAAUUUUUGUCUACUGUUAUGCCUACGUCAUUUCCAUUAUUAUCUUUUCCUAGAUACUAAAGUUUAUAUCCAUCAUUUUCUUUAGCCAUUGCCACUUAGUUUCCUAUAGGUAACCUAUAAUAACUCUCCUCUUUUUGCCUUAUUGUAUCCACUAAACAUUUUACUUUUACAUGCUAGAGGUCUUAUAUUCCAUGUGGCUUGACGAAUUCUAUUAUGGAUUAGUUUUUUUUACUUACGCUUGUCCAAACUAGCAUGGAGCCCUUGCAUAUUUAUUAUCGUGAUUGGACGUAGUUGCAACACGUCAAUUCUAUAGAGCACCCUAGUUAACACUUGCUCUUAUCUCACUGCACUCGAGUACCGGCACAACAUGUGGCUCGCAUAGCACCAUAUCAUAAGUAUAUAAUAUUGGAUCAGAAUUCAUGAUAAAGAUGUGGUGAAUGUUUUAUGCCAAUGGCCAACCAAACACAAUCUUCCUUUCUUAUCGGGCUUGGGACCAGUAGAAUUAUAAAAACUAUCUAUUAAAAUAAUAUUAUAUGUUGCACACCAUAUAAUAUAGUAUAUAUUAAAAAAUAUGAGGGCUUGCGAAUUUCAGACAUUCGAAUUUCAAAUCUCACAGAAAAGAUUUAUUCACGCUACCAAAAAAAGCUAUAUGCUUUAUGUUAGGGUGUGGUUCUACAAGUUCCAACCUUAAACAAUCCAAUUAAGGCGCACCUUUUAACAUGACAUGUAAUUUUGGUGUAAAAAAUUCUUAAGAUUUUCUCAAAAUCUAUUUUCAUACUUACUUAUAGAAUUUUAAACUAAAAAAAUGGUUAAAAUGAAGUAGAUCUAUAAACAUAUAAGAAUCUUGAAAAUAGACGGUCUAGAUAAUGUGUUGUAAGAUGUAUUAUUUAUGGGAUUCAAUUUUUUUUUUCCAUAUUCAUACAUCUUGAUGUCGAGAUAAUCAAUUAGGGGAUUUUUCAACAUUAAAAUAACUUUUUUCGAUGGAUUUUUGAGGUACAUUUGUAGUUUUACAUUUUAAGGUUGCAACCUUAUAUAAACUUUUUCAUUUAUGUUAUUAGUUAUUUGUAUUGUAACUUAAAAAAAAAUAACCGACCAAUUUAGACCAAGAACCAGAACGUCCUUUAGGCAAUUUCUGAUCCUGAUCUAUGUACUUUAAAUCAUUGGUUUACAAUAGGGGUGGCGAUGGGCUAGACCCGAAAAAUGAUAUAGCAUAUGGAUCUGGAUCUGAACCCAACCCAAAAAUUAAAAUAUUUAUUUAAUUAUAUUUAAAUGUAUUUUUUAUAUUGGGACUAAAAAUAUAUUACCGGACACGGACCAGAAUAGUGUUUGGGUCCAAGAUUUGGACCUGGACCGAACGGGUCCAAUUUUUAGACCCAUACCCGAAGCCGGAUUGGGUCUACCUCUUACGUCUUGGCUUAGGUUUUUGAAGUAUAUAAAGGUUGCAAUUAUUUUUUAUUUUUGUACUUUUAUUGAGGUUAAUUUAUAGGCUGAGGAUGUUACAUCCCCGAAUUUUGGAAUCCUAAAGUUAAUCCUAGAUUGGGUUUUACUUGAGGGAUGGCAUACUCCUACAUGAGUAUUAUAGUUUGGGAAAGCUAUCUAUGUUCCCCUUACCAUCCAACCAUCUAUUUUUUUUUCAAGAGAGCCACUCAUCAUUUGAUCUUAAAUCCGAUGUAUCAAAUUAUUUUAUUUUUAGUUUUUUUAAUACAAUUUUUCUGAAUAUGAAAUUUGGUAUGUGUCAUCUUCUCAUUGGGGCACACCUAUAAAAAAUAUUAACAUUAAUUUUUUGAUAAAAAUGACCAAAAUACCCCUUGAAACUUUCAGGGGUAUUUUGGUUAUUUUAUUUUAUUGAAAAUAGUUUUUUAUAUUUUUCGUUAAUGCAAGUUUAAUAGAAGAAUGGAUGUCCAAAAUAUGGUGUCAAAACAGUUUAUAGAAAAAAAUUAAAAAUAAAACAGUGUAGAGAUAUGCCAUUGUGAUUGGGGCAAUCUCAGCCCUCCAUUCUAAAAGGGACUGUUGGAUAAAGGAGAACAUCGAACUUCUAUGGUGUCGGGGGAACAUUCAAUGCUUUCCUUUAUAGUCUAUGGCAAACUAAAUAAUGUGAGUAUUUUUAUGUUAGAAAUCAUUUUUUAAAAUAUAGGGCUUGGGCUUCAGCUUGCUACAUGUCUGAGCCCCAAUUCCACCAGUCUCACCUGUGACUCAGAGCCCCCACUACGUCAUUCUCAAAAAAAAAAAAACUCUAUGCAGAAUCCAGUGCUUCUAUUUUUUCUAACUUAAAAUCAUCUAAUAGGUGAACUUAACUAAACUCUGAAUGAUUUUGAGCCAACUCCACAUAACUAUCGAAAUUAGGAAAAAGUUUAUAUAAGGGUAAGGCCCUAAACAAUCAAAUUAAGGUACACCUAAAAAGUUCAUUAAAAAAGGUUGCAUCGAUUUUGAAAAUCCCUGAAUUCGAUCAUCUCGACUUCAAUAUGCAUGGACAUAAGAAAAAAUGCAUUUCAAGUCUUGAAAAUAUUGUAUCUUGUAAUGAAUUAUUGAGAUGGUCAAUAUUUAAGUAUUCAUCGAUACACUAUUUUUUAAUUUUUAAUUUUUUAAUUAGAGGUGAAAAUAAAUUUUCAGUCCAUCAUAAAGAUUUCUGAUAUUGAAACAACACAUUUUGACACUAUUUUAAGGUGUGCCACACUUUGAUUGUUUAGGGCCUUGGCCUUAUACAAACCACACCCUUUAAAUUAAGCUUUAGUAUCUCCCUUUCAAGAUCUUGCAUGUCUCUCUCAUUCCCCAUAGAAUCUGUUUAUACUUAGUGAUAUUUAAUUAGUAUGCAGUUCCUGAAAAAAAAUGCAUAUUUGAAGCCCCUCUCUCCUUGUCCAUUUCAUGAGAGACAAAUUACUCAAUUUUUUUUAAGAAGCCAUGAUACUCAAGUUUAGAAGACCCUUAUUUUAUCAGAUAAAAUUUGUUAGCUUGCAUAAUGCCAUUCUAGAAAAUGCAUUAAUAAUUUGUCUCUUAAGUAAUGGACAAGGAGAGAGUAGGGGGAGAGGUCCUUAAAAUAUACAUCAACCUGGCCCUAGAGCUACUGAGAGGGAACUAUGGGCUGCUGGUUAAAAAUUAGGUUUGGGUGCCCCUAGAGAUAUUGAGAGGGAGCUAUGAACCACUAAUUAAAGGUUAGGUUUAGGACUUCAGGUGCGGGAAGCACAUAGUAUGAUGAGUUCUUGACCUCAUGAAAUUAUAUAAAUAAAAUUUUAUCCUUUCAUGUCUAUAGAGAAGCAAAUGAUUUGGGGGAUGAGUUAAACUAAAAAGGAUGCUUCUCUAACUGAUUUGGUGGUUGCUAAUGAUGUACGUGGGAUGUUAUAAUCUGAAUUUUGUAAUUCCUUGAUUGAUUAAUAGAAGUUUUGAAUAUUUUUCCAAAAAAAAAAAAUAUAAUCUUUGAAAGUUGUGUAUUUUGUAAUUUUUUAAGUUUUUAUUUCAAAAUUUUCAAAGAUUAUUUUGAUCUGCACAAUCUUUGGAGCCCCAAAUUCUUGAAUUUUAAAACCCUUAAAAAGAUGGGGCCUACACAUGAGUUGGUGGUGAACUCUCCAUGAGUUUUUUCUUCUAAUUAAAAUAUACUAUAGUAUAUAUGGACUUGAGAUAAUAUAACCAAAAUCUAAUUAAAAUAUACUAUGGUAUCCAUCAACUCGAUAUACUAUAACCAAAAUCAUACUACAUUUUUAAUAAAGGAAAAAGCUUAUAUAAGGUUGCAACCUUAAAAUGUAGAAUUACAUAUGCACAUAAAAAUCCAUCGGAAAAGAUUGUUUUAAUGUUGAAAAACCUUUGAAUUGAACAUCUCGACAUCGAGAUGUAUGAAUAUAAAAUAAAAUAAAAUAAAAUAUUUUGAAUACCAAAAAUAGUGCAUUGUGCACCACAUUAUCUAGACCGUUCCUUUUCAAGAUUUUCAUAUGUUUAUAGAUCUAUUUGAUUUUAAUCAUUUUUAAAGUUUAAAAUUUUAUUAUUAGAUAUAAAAAUAGAUUUUGAGAUAAUUCUAAUUAUAUUUUACACAAAAAAUACAUGUUAUGAUAAAAUUUGGGGGUGCGCCUUAAUUGGAUUGGAUUGUUUAAGGUUGCAACCUUAUAGAAACCACACCCUUCAUUUAAUAAAUGGUUCUUACGCAACUCGUGUUUGUACAAUUUCAAAAACCGUGCGUCUCUUUCAUGGUUAACACAAUCAACUUCAUAUGAAAAUCUAGUGUUGAAAAACCUUGUAACAGCUAACUAAGCCCUCUUCAUAUUCGACUAUGAAAAUUUGAAGCUCAAAAAAUGGUAUAGAUUCGAUGGAUUAGUGAAAACUUGAAAUUAAUGGUAUAAAAAAAUAUUAUAAAAUAGACAAUUUUUAGACCUUAAAAUCUAGUUUUUUUAGAUCAUCCAGUCUUCAAAUCUGCUUUCUCUGACCAGGCCAAAGAGGCCUCCAUGGCCAACAAUAGCCCUAUUGGGUGAGGUUGUGUUAGAUAAAAGAAAAAUAAGUUGAAAGGAAAAGUUAAGAAAGGAAUGAAUGGUGGGCUGGGCCAGGUUGGCCCUUUUGUGGCUUGGCCAUGGCCAUGGCCCGGCCAGCACAGCCCUCAAACCACAUUUUGUGUUUCAAACCCUAGUUUUUUAGGGCCAGGCUGGGCCACCUAGCCUAUUGCCACCCCUACUGUUGCAAACACACAUCUUACAUGCGUCGAUGUUGCACGCAUCAUGUCCCGCCAACUAAACUUUGCAACUUAGGCCCUAGUUUCUCUAGGACCGGGCUGGGAUGGGUCAUCGGGUCUAUUGCUAACUACUACUACUAUUGCAAAUGCACAUUGUACAUAUAUAGAUGUUGCAAGCAUCGCAUCGUACUAAAAGUUGUAAUAUGACCAUGUAUUUUUGGUUCAAGAAGGUCGCACUUAUCUUUAGCCAUCAAAUAUGAAAUUUAAUGGCUCAAAGUGUGUCACAUAGUUCGAGAAAUUUUAUUUUGGAUCUUAUGCCUAGUCAAUGACAUCUCCAACAUCCAAUUUCACAUCCAACGGUCAAUGAUGAUUGUUUCCUUUGUAUCAAAAUUAAAUGGUCUUAUUAUAUAUAUUCCCUUUUAUUAAUGAUUCCCCGUGCAACUAGUGUUCAGCUCAGGGCCAUUCACCCUAGGGAAAGAUAACCAAAUCUUGAAAACCCUUGCCCAUAUCGAACAAGACAUUAAAUCUAUUAGAAAACUAUGUGAUCCAGUCACCCACAAAGACAUUAAAUCUAUUAGAAAACUAUGUGAACCAGUCACCCACAAAUGUGACAUAUAUUAUUAUCAGAUAUAACUUUGAUUUAUCUAAUGCUAAAUUUAAUACCAUUCUUAACAUGAUCCUAUGAAUACAUGUUCAAAUGCACAAAACUAUGGGAAACUCGAUAGAACAAGACAUUAAAUCUAUUAGAAAACUAUGUCAUCAUUCACCAUAAAUAUGAUUAUAUUAUUAUCAAAUAUAACAUUGAUAUGUCUAUUGCUAAAUUUAAUACCAUUCUUAACAUGAUCUUAUGAAGACAUUUUUAGAAGUGCACUAAAACUACGGCAAAAAUGGCCGCCUCCUUCCCAAUAAUUCAUUUACUAAGGGACAAUUUAUUACCUUGUCCAUAGAAAGGGAAAACACCUAGUUUUUACCUCAAACAAAAAUAUACCAUGAUCCAUACGACCAUAUUCAGAUAUGUGGUCGUGGAGGUUAUCGUCAUCCAAUCGAGGGGUUUUAUGGCGAUUGAGCGAGUGGGACCUAUCAAAUUUGCCAUUAACUAAAGGAAAAAGCUUAUAUAAGCUUUAGUCCCUAAACAAUCAAAUUAAGGUGCACCUUAAAAAAUCAGUAAAAGAUGUUUGGAUGUUGAAAAAUCGUCAGAUCAAAUCAUCUUGACUUUAAGAUACAUAAACAAAAAUAAAUGUCUAAGUCUUGAAGAUAGUACAUCUUAUAAUGCAUUAUCUAGACCGUCAAUUUUCAAGAUUUUCUACUGUUCAUAGAUCCAUUUGAUAUGCACUGUUUUUUAAGCUAGAAGUUUUGUAACUAGAGAUAAAAUAAAGUUUCAAUCCAUCAUAAAGAUUUUUGGUGCUGAAAUCUUUCGACCCUAUUUGAAGGCAACACUUUGAUUGUUUAGGGCCUCAACCUUGUACAAACCACACCCCCUAACUUUCUCAUCGCUGACCAAAUUAGGUUGUGUUCUUGACUUCUUCACAUCACAACAUUGCUGCAAGUGUGGCAUUGCAAUAUAGCACUAUCAGUGAUUGAUUGAAAAAUCGGCCGAGUACGUUAAUUACUUGAGCUCGAGGUCUUGCCGAGAUUUAGUUGUUCCGAAUUGGGUGUCUAACUCAAGGAUAUUAAAUUUUUUUUAAAAAAAUAAAAAAUUAUAAAAAGAUAAAAAAAUAAAAAAUUAUUUGGAAUAUAUUUUUUAAUGUCUUUGAAAAAGGUUGGAAAGUAUUUUGGCCAUAAAUAAUUAUUUUUAUAUUUUUCUAUCUUUUUUGGAUUAUUUCAAAAAUACCCCCCCGUCACAAGUUAAUUUUUAAAAUAUAUUUUUUUGCUAUUUGUUUAGCAUUUUUUUGAAGUAUUUUGUUUAAUCUCACUUUAAACAUAUAUUUUCUAUUUUUUUUGGAUUUGUUUUUGUAUUUUUUAUAAUUUCGAUUUUUAUUUUUGCUCCAUCAAUAUGGUGCACUAGUCAAGCCCAAUUAUUUGGACUAAGCCCGGUCCGAGUUGCACUUUCUAAGGCUGAGCAAUAUCACAAGCAGGAAUCACGGAUGGUAAUAUCAUUAUGUGGAGUUGCAUGUUAUGUGUGGCAUAUUCAAGUCAAGAAUAGCGAUGUCACAAGAAGAAGACGUAUGCAGUGACGUUGCAAAACUCACUACAUCCGUGAGAUUGAGAUGGAUUCCAAUCGUGUGCAAUGACUCAUUUAGCAGUUAUGACUGUUGGGUAUCCAUAUGCAAGAUGAGCGAUUUAAAAAACAGAUCGGCAGCCUCGGUCAGGGAUUGUAAAAAUUGGUAUGGAUCAGUGAAUUGGCCUUAUUGUGCGGAAAAAAUAUCGAUAUGGCAAAAAACCGGUUCGUAUCGGUAAAUCAAUGUUUCUAUUGUAGCAAAAAACUAUUUUAUUGUAGCAAAUCGCCGGUUCUCUUCUAGACCUGGAUGAUUUCUUAUGUAUUGAUAAAAUUGAUAUGAGAUGAUUGAUUCUCGAGUCGAACCAAAAAAUUUUAUGGCGACCCGAUGCUUUUAAAUCAUUGGUUGUAACUGAUGAGCUAUGUAUGAUUUGAGCAGCAACUCCUCAACGUUCAGUUACAAUAAUUGAAUAUCUUAUGCUUAGUUGCCCAAAUUAGAAGGGCACUUUCUGUCUCUCUCUCUCUCUAUUUGACUUUUGG